rnacentral:lncRNA from 1 species
UGAGUUUAGAAUUAGGAGUCCUUUCAAUUCAUCUUUCAAGAUUAAGCAUUCUAAAGGCAUGAGGCCUAGUUGCUCUUCAACAUAUUUAACAUUCUAAAGGCAUGAGGCCUAGUUGCUCUUGAAACUCCAUUUAUCAUAGGUAAGGUCCUAAUUCUAAGUCCUUUCUCCUUUUGCAUUGGGUUCACACAAACAAAACAAAACAA